rnacentral:rRNA from 1 species
CACGUAGGCGGAUUGCUAAGUCAGGGGUGAAAUCCUGGAGCUCAACUCCAGAACUGCCUUUGAUACUGGCAAUCUCGAGUCCAGGAGAGGUGAGUGGAACUGCGAGUGUAGAGGUGAAAUUCGUAGAUAUUCGCAAGAACACCAGUGGCGAAGGCGGCUCACUGGCCUGGUACUGACGCUGAGGUGCGAAAGCGUGGGAGCAAACA